rnacentral:rRNA from 1 species
CGUAGGAAGUCGUAUGCGAUCAAUACAACUUUCAACAACGGAUCUCUUGGCUCUCGCAUCGAUGAAGAACGCAGCGAAAUGCGAUACGUAAUGUGAAUUGCAGAAUUCAGUGAAUCAUCGAAUCUUUGAACGCACCUUGCGCCCCUUGGCAUUCCGAGGGGCACACCCGUUUGAGUGUCGUGAAUYCCUCAACCUUCUGCAUUUCUUGAUGGCAGAAGGCUUGGACUUUGGAGGUUCUUGCCGGCCUCUCCUUCUAGAAGCCAGCUCCUCUUAAAUGGAUUAGCGGGGUCUGCCUUUAGUCGAUCCUUGACGUGAUAAGCCAUUUCUACGUCUUGGAUUCGACUCUUUUGAGACCUGCUUCUAAUCGUCUUAAUGGGGUGCACUUUUGGACCCACGAACCAUUUGACCUCAAAUCGGGUGAGACUACCCGCUGAACUUAAGCAUAUCAAUAAGCGGAGGAAAAGAAACUAACGAGGAUUCCCCUAGUAACUGCGAGUGAAGCGGGAAAAGCUCU